rnacentral:rRNA from 1 species
AGUCGAACGGUAACCAUCCUUCGGGAUGGCUAGAGUGGCGAACGGGUGAGUGACACGUAGGUGAUCUGCCCUUGAGUUGGGGAUAGCCCAUGGAAACAUGGGGUAAUACCGAAUACGCUCGCGACCCUGUGGGGAUGUGAGGAAAAGCGCUUCGGCGCUGCUCGAGGAUGAGCCUGCGGCUGAUUAGUUAGUUGGUGGGGUAACGGCCUACCAAGGCGACGAUCAGUAGCCGGCCUGAGAGGGUGAGCGGCCACACUGGGACUGAGAUACGGCCCAGACUCCUACGGGAGGCAGCAGCUAAGAAUCUUCUACAAUGGACGAAAGUCUGAUAGAGCGACGCCGCGUGGGUGAUGAAGGCCGGAAGGUUGUAAAGCCCUUUUCUAUUCGAGGAAUAAGGUGUGGAGGCAAUGCCACACUGAUGACGGUAGGGUAGGAAUAAGCCCCGGCCAAUUACGUGCCAGCAGCCGCGGUAACACGUAUGGGGCGAGCGUUGUUCGGAAUCAUUGGGCGUAAAGGGCGCGUAGGCGGAUAUGCAAGCUUGGUGUGAAAGACCGCAGCUCAACUGCGGGAGCGCGCUGAGAACUGCAUAUCUUGAGUUCAAGAGGGGAAGCUGGAAUUCCAGGUGUAGGGGUGAAAUCUGUAGAUAUCUGGAAGAACAUCAGUGGCGAAGGCGAGCUUCUGGCUUUGAACUGACGCUGAGGCGCGAAAGCGUGGGGAGCGAACAGGAUUAGAUACCCUGGUAGUCCACGCUGUAAACGAUGUGCACUAGGUGUUGGGCCGUUGAAGGCUCAGUGCCGUAGCUAACGCGUUAAGUGCACCGCCUGGGGAGUAUGCUCGCAAGAGUGAAACUCCAAGGAAUUGACGGUGGCCCGCACAAGCGGUGGAGCAUGUGGUUUAAUUCGAUGAUACGCGAGGAACCUUACCAGGGCUUGACAUAUACAGGAAUGCGCAUGAGAGUGCGCAGCCCUUCGGGGUCUGUAUAC